GGGUUCUGUGUUAAAUUCCGUACGGACCGCACGCGUUCCGCACAGUGGACGGCGGCCUUUAGAAAAGCCAGAAUGAGUAUUUAGAAAACGAGCAUUUGUAUUCCAAUAUGGCUGACAGGAAGGCUCCUAUGUGCAGACAACCCAAUUUUGGAACUGUACUGAAGGCCAUUGUCACAAGCACGCUGCAUGGCUACGAGGAGUCGGCUUCGUGCCUGUCGUUCGGCGGUUCGGCCGGUGUGCUGGUCUCCGGCUGUCUUGGCGGCGAGCUGCGUCUUUGGCGACCCCAUUCGGGACGCACCACACUGCUGGCCCUACAGCAGAAGGCACACCGCCUGGGUGUUACCUGCUGCCAUAAUCUAUUAUCCAUCAGCAAACCAUAUGUAUGUUUUCUUUCUGAAUAAAAAUGUGCCUGGGCAAGUAAA